CAAGAGCGUAUAUUAAAGUUGCUGCGGUUAAAAAGCUCGUAGUUGGAUUUCAGUCUAGGAAGGUUAACUCGCCGAAAGGUUGUACGUUGAUUUUCCUCAGACUUCGUCAGAAGCUCGUGCUGCACUUAACUGUGUGGUACGAUGUUCUGACCUUUUACCUUGAGGAAAGUAGAGUGUUUCAGGCAGGCUACCCAGCUUGAAUACAUUAGCAUGGAAUAAUGAAAUGGAUCUCGGUUCGAUUUCGUUGGUUCUAGAGCUGAGGUGAUGAUCAAUAGGAACAGGCGAAGGUAUUCGUACUUGAGAGUGAGGAGUGAAAUCCGAUGAUCUCUUAAAGACGAUCCGAGGCGAAAGCAUUUGUCAAGGAUGUUCUCAUUGA
rnacentral:rRNA from 1 species